rnacentral:rRNA from 1 species
AACGUAGGGGACAAGCGUUAUCCGGAUUUACUGGGCGUAAAGCGCAUGUAGGUGGCGCUGAAAGUUGGACGUGAAAGCCCCUGGCUUAACUGGGAGAGGUCGUUCAAAACUGCAGUGCUUGAGUUUGGAAGAGGAGAGCGGAAUUCCCGGUGUAGUGGUGGAAUGCGUAGAUAUCGGGAGGAACACAAGUGGCGAAAGCGGCUCUCUGGUUCACACCUGACACUGAGAUGCGAAAGCGUGGGGAGCGAACGGG